rnacentral:rRNA from 1 species
AGCGAACGCUGGCGGCAGGCUUAACACAUGCAAGUCGAACGCAUCCUUCGGGGUGAGUGGCAGACGGGUGAGUAACACGUGGGAACGUACCCUUCGAUCUGGGAUAACUUCGGGAAACUGGAGCUAAUACCGGAUACGCCCUUUUGGGGAAAGGUUUACUGUCGAAGGAUCGGCCCGCGUCUGAUUAGCUAGUUGGUGGGGUAACGGCCUACCAAGGCGACGAUCAGUAGCUGGUCUGAGAGGAUGAUCAGCCACACUGGGACUGAGACACGGCCCAGACUCCUACGGGAGGCAGCAGUGGGGAAUAUUGGACAAUGGGCGCAAGCCUGAUCCAGCCAUGCCGCGUGAGUGAUGAAGGCCUUAGGGUUGUAAAGCUCUUUUGUCCGGGACGAUAAUGACGGUACUGGAAGAAUAAGCCCCGGCUAACUUCGUG